GGAGGGAUCUCCAAUGUUGGUAUUUGGAGUUGAGCUGUAAACUCAAUGGAUAUACUCCUUCAUAGGUUCAAUUCCUAUUCCCUUCA
rnacentral:tRNA from 1 species